UACGGAGGAUUCAAGCGUUAUCCGGAUUUACUGGGUGUAAAGGGAGCGUAGACGGCAGCACAAGUCUGGAGUGAAAUCCCAUGGCUUAACCAUGGAACUGCUUUGGAAACUGUGCAGCUGGAGUGCCGGAGAGGUAAGUGGAAUUCCUAGUGUAGCGGUGAAAUGCGUAGAUAUUAGGAGGAACACCAGUGGCGAAGGCGGCUUACUGGACUGUAACUGACGCUGAGGCUCGAAAGCAUGGGUAGCGAACAGG
rnacentral:rRNA from 1 species